ACGAACAAGUACAAAUCCUUCUUCUCCUGCUACGCGUAAAAGCAAGAAAGGGAAAGGUGAAUCGAGUAAGCCUUUUAUAAUGUCUGAGCUUCACAUUGAUCCACUUCCAUCAAGUGGUGUUGCAACGCCUGUCGCUAAUCCUGCAGUUGAGAGUGUUAUUGCAUCUGGUAAGACUUCUGUUAAUAUAGGUCUUAAUAUACCAAAAUCUGUUAAAACCCUAG
rnacentral:lncRNA from 1 species